CCCCGCACCCGCACCGGCACCCCGGCCCGCCGUCCUCGCCCCGCGCCGGCCGCCGAUCGGCUUCUUUGUUGCGCCCCGGGGCGGUGCGUCCCGGGGUGUCAGUGUGCGGGGUGCGUGCCCGGGGGCGCGGGGGCCUCUCCGCGCCCGCCCCCACCCCUCCCCGCUCGCCCCGGUCAGGAGUCCGCGGCACCCGAGUCUCAGAGUAAGAUUCCUGGACCCUGUGCCCAUGAAGCCCCGUCAACCUUCACACCAGCUGAGGGCAGCAGCAGAGGACUAGAAGAAUCAGUGUCGCUGGGCAUGUUAGCGUCUCUUUGAGUGAUUCCAGUGGCUUAUGGGACUGCAGCCCCUGGAUUCUGCAC